GGGGUGGAGGAGGGAGGAAGGACGGAGAGGGGUGGACGAACCCCCAUCUAAGUCUACGGAUAAUGCUUUGUCGUUCUAAUGCUGAGCCCUAACUUGACAGAGGACAGAGAGGUGCUGAGCGAUUUUUUCAUGACCUGUUGGAAUUUGGUACAGCUUUAAUAGUCUCAUUAGAAAUGAGUUACUAUAUGACUACCCAGAGGCUCGACUGGAGAGAAAGAAGGGUCCGAGUGUGUGUAAAUGGUUUCUGGGCUCCAAACGGCCACAGUUAGCCCAGAACUUCCAGCCCUGAUCUAGGAAAAGAACAUUUGAUGCCAUCAAAGGGCUGCAGAUUGAAACCAGAUGUGCUCGCCUCGGUUCUUUCCAUGCAUUUAAUUAAGGAGCCGGGAUGGAGGAGACUUUUUCAUCAUUAGCCCACCCACUCCCUCCCUCCUCUUUCCAUCCCUUCGCCCUCCCCCGCGGCCCGCUCGCACCCGGACCGGGAGCCCCAGAGCCCAGCCAGCGCCGCGUGGUGCGCAGAGCCCGUCGCUCCGUCUCCCCAGUGGUCGGGGCUCUAAGCAGUAAACAUCUGUCCGCGUCUGGGCUGGGGCGAGCUGCGCGGCAGGGCUAGCGGGAUGCCGGUGGGAGACGGCCGAGCUCCCAGGUGGGCCCGCCGGAGUGGGAGCGUUGCAGGCGGGUGCCUUGCGCGGAGAUUUCCAAAACCGUUGGUUGCGCGCGCCUAAGCCGAGCGCACAUGUGUCAGUGCCACCGGCUGGAAUGGACGUGACUUAAUCGCAUAGAGAGGUUUUCAGCCGGCGUCCCGCUGCAUGAGCUUAGGUGAAAGGGCUGAGGGGCCGGCCGUUUCUCCCUUCUCUCCACGCCCCGCGAGGCACGGCUGGGAAUGUCCCCGCUGCCGAGUCAGCCUCUUCGAAUCUUCCCAGAAAUGGAGCAGGCCCUAGCCUUUCCCUCCUUCUCCACCCUCAUUACACAGUUGUAUUUUAAUGUUUC